GAACAUGGGGGGACCAUCCUCCAAGGCUAAAUACUCGUGAUCGACCGAUAGUGAACAAGUACCGUGAGGGAAAGGCGAAAAGAACCCCGGGAGGGGAGUGAAAUAGAACCUGAAACCGCAUGCAUACAAACAGUGGGAGCCUCCUUGUGGGGUGACUGCGUACCUUUUGUAUAAUGGGUCAGCGACUUACGUUAUGUUGCGAGCUUAACCGAAUAGGGGAGGCGUAGCGAAAAGCGAGUCUGAUAAGGGCGUUGAGUAGCAUGGCGUAGACCCGAAACCGGAUGAUCUAUCCAUGGCCAGGAUGAAGGUGCCGUAACAGGUACUGGAGGUCCGAACCCACUAGUGUUGAAAAACUAGGGGAUGAGCUGUGGAUAGGGGUGAAAGGCUAAACAAAUCCGGAAAUAGCUGGUUCUCCCCGAAAACUAUUAGGUAGUGCGUCAUGUAUCACUUGCGGGGGUAAAGCACUGUUAUGGCUAGGGGGUCAUCGCGACUUACCAAACCAUGGCAAACUCUG
rnacentral:rRNA from 1 species